rnacentral:rRNA from 1 species
UACAGGGGGGUGCAAGCGUUGUUCGGAAUUACUGGGCGUAAAGCGCGGGCAGGUGGCCUUUUAAGUCCUUUGUGAAAUCCCGGAGCUCAACUCCGGAUGUGCAUAGGAUACUGGAAGGCUUGGGACUGGUAGAGGCGAGCGGAAUUCCUGGUGUAGCGGUGGAAUGCGUAGAUAUCAGGAAGAACACCGGUGGCGAAGGCGGCUCGCUGGGCCAGAUCCGACACUCAUCCGCGAAAGCGUGGGGAGCGAACAGG